GAUGAAGAACGCAGUGAAAUGCGAUAAGUAAUGUGAAUUGCAGAAUUCAGUGAAUCAUCGAAUCUUUGAACGCACAUUGCGCCCCUUGGUAUUCCAUGGGGCAUGCCUGUUCGAGCGUCAUUUGUACCUUCAAGCUUUGCUUGGUGUUGGGUGUUUGUCUCGCCUUUGCGUGUAGACUCGCCUCAAAACAAUUGGCAGCCGGCGUAUUGAUUUCGGAGCGCAGUACAUCUCGCGCUUUGCACUCAUAACGACGACGUCCAAAAGUACAUUUUUACACUCUUGACCUCGGAUCAGGUAGGGAUACCCGCUGAACUUAAGCAUAUCAAUAAGCGGAGGA
rnacentral:misc_RNA from 1 species